GGGGCUGGGGCUCAGUGGCAGAGCACUUGCCUAGCAUGCAUGAGGUACUGGGUUCGAUCCUCAGCACCA
rnacentral:tRNA from 1 species